rnacentral:rRNA from 1 species
AAGUAAGUUAUUGUUUUUUGUUUUAUUAGGAACUUAAAUUUUGUAGUUAGAAAGAAAAGUUUAAUUGACGAUAGUUUAUAGUACUGUGAAGGAAUUUUAAAGAGGGUUUUAAAGAAAAGUAAAAGAUUUUGUACCUUUUGUAUUAGGGUUUAACUAUAAUUAGAAAGAUUUUUAUAUCCCGAAUAAUCUUGAGCUAUGGAAAGUGGUUUUAAUCGUUUUAAAGAUUAAAAGAAUUUUUUUAUAGAAAUGAAAUUUUAUUCGAAAGGUUGGUUAUCUGGUUAAGAUUGAAGAUUAGAUAUUUUUUUAUGAUUUGUGUUAUUGUAUAAGUUCAUAAGUUUUCUCUCUGGGAUAAGCUAGGGAAUUUUUUUUAUAUGAAUUUGUAAAAUUGAAUAAGGUUUAAAAUUUACUUUUUUUGUAAUAAAAAAUUUUUUAUUAGUUGUUUUUAAAAUUUGUGGAUUUUUCAAUUAAUUUGAAAUUGUGGGAAUUUAUGUUGAGAUUAGUAUAAUUGUUGGAAUUGAUUUUGAUUGAAUUUAUGAAUUAAAAGUUAAAAAACAAAAAAGAAUUCGGCAAAAAUUUUUUUGGAAUGUUUAUCAAAAACAUUGUAUCUUGAUAUUAUAAGAUAUAAAACCUGCUCAAUGAUGUGUUAAAUUGCUGUGGUAUUAUGACUAUACGAAGGUAUUGAAAUAAGACUUUAAUUGGGUGCUAAGAGAAUGGUUUAACAAAAAUAAGCUUUUUUUUUGCUUAUAUUAAAAGUUAAUUUAAAAAUGAGAAAGUUUUUAUGAAUUUUUAGGACAAGAAGACCCUAUGAAUUUUUUUAAAGACUUUUCUUUUUUGGUCUUUUAAAAAAAUUCAAGGAAAGUUUUUAAUUAAUUGGGGAGAUUUUUAAAUUUUUAAAAACUUUAAAAAUGUAUUAUUGGAUCCAAUAUUAUUGAUAUUUUAAAAAAAAUACUCUAGGGAUAACAGCGUUAUUACUUUGGAUAGUUCAUAUAGAUAAAGUAGAUUGCGACCUCGAUGUUGGAUUAGGAUACCUUUAUUAAUGAAGAAGUUAUAAGAGGAGGUUUGCUCAACCUUUAAAUUCCUACAUGAUCUGAGUUCAGACCGGCGUGAGCCAGGUUGGUUUCUAUCUAAAUUUUAUUUUUAGUUUUUUUAGUACGAAAGGAAUAAGGAACAAAAAUUAUUUUAUUAAAUUUUUGUGGUUUAAUGUUAAUA